GAGAAUCGAGCGAAGUCACUGCCAGGGACAAAGAUCACUGCUAGGGGAACAAACAGGAUCACCGGGAAUCAGAGACUGAUGUUGGGAAUAAGUCAGGGAUCACAAUUACCAAAGCUGGGGGAUCUUCCAACAGUACGCAGAGACAAGGAUAAGAUCAGUCAGAGGAGUCAUCUACUGGGGAUCUUAUCGGGAAGUGAUGUAGAAUUCUGUGGGGAACAACCACC
rnacentral:lncRNA from 1 species